rnacentral:rRNA from 1 species
UACGUAGGUGGCAAGCGUUGUCCGGAAUUAUUGGUCGUAAAGCGCGCGCAGGCGGUUCUUUAAGUCUGAUGUGAAAGCCCACGGCUUAACCGUGGAGGGUCAUUGGAAACUGGAGAACUUGAGUACAGAAGAGGAAAGCGGAAUUCCACGUGUAGCGGUGAAAUGCGUAGAGAUGUGGAGGAACACCAGUGGCGAAGGCGGCUUUCUGGUCUGUAACUGACGCUGAGGCGCGAAAGCGUGGGGAGCAAACAGG